rnacentral:rRNA from 1 species
UACGGAGGAUGCAAGCGUUAUCCGGAAUCAUUGGGCGUAAAGCGCGCGCAGGCGGUCGAUUAAGUCUGGUGUAUAAACCAAGGGCUCAACCUUUGGUCGCAUUGGAAACUGGUCGACUGGAGUGUAGGAGAGGAAAGUGGAAUUCCACGUGUAGCGGUGAAAUGCGUAGAGAUGUGGAGGAACACCAGUGGCGAAGGCGACUUUCUGGCCUAUAACUGACGCUGAGGCGCGAAAGCGUGGGGAGCAAACAGG